rnacentral:rRNA from 1 species
AUGGGGCUGGAGAUGGCGCCGGUGGAAGAGGAGAGAUCGCCGGAGCAGCCGGAGCUGCAGAUUUACCCGCUGUGCCGCUACUACUUCGGCGCCAGGGACGCCCGGCCAUGCGCCGGCGAGACUGCCGCCGACCGCGCCCUCCGCCUCAAGGCCAACUUCGCGGCUCGCGGGCUCCGGACCUGCGUCCAUGGCGUCCUGCUGGUCGAGCUCUCGGGUCACCCCCACGUGCUGCUCCUGCAAGUCAGGAACUCCUCCUUCCUGCUCCCGGGCGGCCGCCUCAGGCCUGCCGAGCAAGAUGUCCAAGGCCUGAAACGCAAGCUCUCCAGCAAGCUAGCGGCCGCGGAUCGAAACGGCGACCACCACUGGCAGAUCGGGGAGUGCAUUGGCAUGUGGUGGAGAUCCGAAUUCGAGGCCAGGCCGUUUCCAUAUCCGCCUCCGAACACUCGUGCACCCAAGGAAUGCGUAAAGCUGUUCUUGGUUAGGCUGCCCAUGGCUCGCCAGUUCGUCGUGCCGAGGAACCUCAAGCUCCUAGCCGUGCCUCUGUCCCAGAUUCACGACAAUCCUCAGGUAUAUGGUCCAAUCAUAUCUGGAGUUCCGAAUCUGCUCUCCAAGUUCUCCUUCAACCUUGUCAGGGACUGA